rnacentral:rRNA from 1 species
AGAUUGAACGCUGGCGGCAUGCCUAACACAUGCAAGUCGAACGGCAGCGCGGGUAGCAAUACCUGGCGGCGAGUGGCGGACGGGUGAGGAAUACAUAGGAAUCUACCCCGUCGUGGGGGAUAACGUAGGGAAACUUACGCUAAUACCGCAUACGACCGAGAGGUGAAAGCGGCGGACCGCAAGGCGUCGCGCGGCUGGAUGAGCCUAUGUCCGAUUAGCUAGUUGGCGGGGUAAGAGCCCACAAGGCGACGAUCGGUAGCUGGUCUGAGAGGAUGAUCAGCCACACUGGGACUGACGACACGGCCCAGACUCCGUA